rnacentral:lncRNA from 1 species
CAUGCCCCUCUCGAAUGUUUCGUUGCCCCCUUCUCUCGACCUACCCCCUCGUCCCGACGUGAAAAAGAAAAUGUCUUUCCGUCGUGAUCCGUCAUGUAUGGUCGAUGAUAGCGAUUUGCCGGCGCGCGAUGCGUGAUUAAACAUAAAAAUAAAAAUGCCAACUUGCCAAUGUAAAAAUAAGUAACGGUAAUAAAGGCGAGCGAUAAUUAAAAUUGACGAAGAUGUUAGCGUUUAUUUCUCACAAAUAAAGAAUUUUAUUAUAAUAUCGUGAAAAAGAAUAAAUAAUAUCACAGUAUAUAUUUCUAUGUUACUUGAUCUUUAGUCCAAUUAUGGUUUUUAAAUUGAAUAACAUAUUGUCGAUAUAAUCAAGAAUUUUGUAAUUAUAUGUAAUAAUAUUAAAUUUUCUUGAUUGCAUCGACAACAUGUUGGAUUUAAAACUAUAAAUUAAUAUAGAAACAUGUAUUUUGCGACAUUAUUUGUUUAAAUUCUUUUUCCACGAUAUUGUUAAUUUUUUUAUUUUUUUAGGAGAAAAAAUCCGCUACCAUUUUUGUUAAUUUAGUCGUAUAGUCUUUUUUUUUAAAUUAUUUGUGCUCAGAAGUGCCACGGUGAGAUGUGGUGAGAGAAGAGCAAAAUAGGGCGCGAUGAUUUUGCGAACGUUUAAAAUGCGAUUUUUUUCUUUUUUUAAACUGCGAACCAAGUAGUAAGAACUUGAAGAAUAUUGACAGCAAUAAAAAUACGGAUAUCCCUCUACUUAUGAUUAUCUCGGCUUAUGAAUUCUAACAACCGGCAUAAAUGUAACUAUAGAUUAAAAAUGAACUAAUAAUACAUUAUAACGAAGGUGAUCGUGCACUCGUUAAUCAGUGAUUCAAAUUAAAUAUUAAUUUUACUGUACUGAAUAAUUAAUUGCAUUAAGAGUUAUAUUUUUAAGAAAAAAUUGUAUCGUUUGUUAAUCAUUUGUUGAAGUUAAAUCCGUGUUUAAAUUAAUUUUUAUGAUAGCAAAUAUUAUAAAUUAUAAUCUUUAAAAUAAUUUGUAUUUAAAUAUUUUAUUUAUAUAGAGUAUAAAAAUGCUAUUCAAUUUAUGAUUAAUUCGAUUUGUGGCUAAAAUCUUAGAAUAUAAAUAGUGGAAUAUUUGUAUGCAUAAAAAAUAAUGAAAUUUAUGAAAUUUUUUAAAUAUGUAUGAAAGUUUAAUGAUACAUUUUUAAAUUUAUUAAAAUUAUAGAGAAAUUUUCGCGAGCGCUUUAUCGUCAUACUAAUUUCAUUAUGUUUUGCACGACGAACAAUUUGGAGGGAAAAAGUGGAAAUUGCUACCUCAUGAGAGAGCUGGAAAUGAAAUAGAUGGUUACGUAAUGAAAAUGAAGGAAAGAAAGAAGAUAAAAAUGACGAUGUUCGAAACGAUACAAAACGAUACUGAAGAUCGACGGCCCUAAACGAGAUCGAUUGUCUUCCGUCGUCUUCCCGACUAUUUCUUCUCGAUUAGAUCAGUCGAGCGUCGCCGUCAUCAGUACUACUAACAAAUCGCUAGACGUGGGCGAUAGAGAAGUAUCACGAGUUUAGGAGACUCGAGAUCCGCGUAGAUCCAGGAUCUGAGAAUGUUGUAAGUGAUCGCUGACUUCUUCCUCCUCGUUC